CUAGCCGUAAACGAUGGAUACUAGGCGUUGUGAGUAUCGACCCUCACAGUGUCGUAGCUAGCGCGUUAAGUAUCCCGCCUGGGGAGUACGCGCGCAAGCGUGAAACUCAAAGGAAUUGACGGGGGCCCGCACAAGCGGUGGAGUAUGUGGUUUAAUUCGAUGCAACGCGAAGAACCUUACCAGGACUUGACAUGUCGCGAAUCUCAGGGAAACUUGAGAGUGCCUUCGGGAGCGCGAACACAGGUGGUGC
rnacentral:rRNA from 1 species